rnacentral:rRNA from 1 species
UACGUAGGUGGCAAGCGUUGUCCGGAUUUACUGGGCGUAAAGAGCGCGCAGGCGGUCGUGCAAGUCGCGUGUGAAAGCCCCCCGGCUCAACUGGGGGAGGGUCACGCGAUACUGCUCGACUCGAAAGGCAGGAGAGGGAAGUGGGAAAUUCCCCGGUGUAGUGGUGAAAAUGCGUAGAUAUCGGGGAGGAACAUCCGUGGCGAAGGCGGCCACCUGGACCAACAUUGACGCUGAGGCACGAAAGCGUGGGGAGCAAACAGG